AUGCACGCUGGCGGCGUGCCUCAUCCAUGCCAGUCGCGCGAACAGACGAGGAGCUUGCUCCUCUGACGUUAGCGGCGGACGGGUGAGUAACACGUGGAUACCUACCUAUAAGACUGGGAUAACUUCGGGAAACCGGAGCUAAUACCGGAUAAUAUAUUGAACCGCAUGGUUCAAUAGUGAAAGACGGUUUUGCUGUCACUUAUAGAUGGAUCCGCGCCGCAUUAGCUAGUUGGUAAGGUAACGGCUUACCAAGGCAACGAUGCGUAGCCGACCUGAGAGGGUGAUCGGCCACACUGGAACUGAGACACGGUCCAGACUCCUACGGGAGGCAGCAGUAGGGAAUCUUCCGCAAUGGGCGAAAGCCUGACGGAGCAACGCCGCGUGAGUGAUGAAGGUCUUCGGAUCGUAAAACUCUGUUAUUAGGGAAGAACAAAUGUGUAAGUAACUAUGCACGUCUUGACGGUACCUAAUCAGAAAGCCACGGCUAACUACGUG
rnacentral:rRNA from 1 species